UCGUUGGGUAGGGGAGCGUUCUGUAAGCCGUAGAAGGUGUGUCGUGAGGCAUGCUGGAGGUAUCAGAAGUGCGAAUGCUGACAUAAGUAACGAUAAAGCGGGUGAAAAGCCCGCUCGCCGGAAGACCAAGGGUUCCUGUCCAACGUUAAUCGGGGCAGGGUGAGUCGACCCCUAAGGCGAGGCCGAAAGGCGUAGUCGAUGGGAAACAGGUUAAUAUUCCUGUACUUGGUGUUACUGCGAAGGGGGGACGGAGAAGGCUAUGUUGGCCGGGCGACGGUUGUCCCGGUUUAAGCGUGUAGGCUGGUUUUCCAGGCAAAUCCGGAAAAUCAAGGCUGAGGCGUGACGACGAGGCACUACGGUGCUGAAGCAACAAAUGCCCUGCUUCCAGGAAAAGCCUCUAAGCAUCAGGUAACAUCAAAUCGUACCCCAAACCGACACAGGUGGUCAGGUAGAGAAUACCAAGGCGCUUGAGAGAACUCGGGUGAAGGAACUAGGCAAAAUGGUGCCGUAACUUCGGGAGAAGGCACGCUGACAUGUAGGUGAAGCGGUUUACCCGUGGAGCUGAAGUCAGUCGAAGAUACCAGCUGGCUGCAACUGUUUAUUAAAAACACAGCACUGUGCAAACACGAAAGUGGACGUAUACGGUGUGACGCCUGCCCGGUGCCGGAAGGUUAAUUGAUGGGGUUAUCCGUAAGGAGAAGCUCCUGAUCGAAGCCCCGGUAAACGGCGGCCGUAACUAUAACGGUCCUAAGGUAGCGAAAUUCCUUGUCGGGUAAGUUCCGACCUGCACGAAUGGCGUAAUGAUGGCCAGGCUGUCUCCACCCGAGACUCAGUGAAAUUGAACUCGCUGUGAAGAUGCAGUGUACCCGCGGCAAGACGGAAAGACCCCGUGAACCUUUACUAUAGCUUGACACUGAACAUUGAGCCUUGAUGUGUAGGAUAGGUGGGAGGCUUUGAAGCGUGGACGCCAGUCUGCGUGGAGCCAACCUUGAAAUACCACCCUUUAAUGUUUGAUGUUCUAACGUGGACCCGUAAUCCGGGUUGCGGACAGUGUCUGGUGGGUAGUUUGACUGGGGCGGUCUCCUCCUAAAGAGUAACGGAGGAGCACGAAGGUUGGCUAAUCCUGGUCGGACAUCAGGAGGUUAGUGCAAUGGCAUAAGCCAGCUUGACUGCGAGCGUGACGGCGCGAGCAGGUGCGAAAGCAGGUCAUAGUGAUCCGGUGGUUCUGAAUGGAAGGGCCAUCGCUCAACGGAUAAAAGGUACUCCGGGGAUAACAGGCUGAUACCGCCCAAGAGUUCAUAUCGACGGCGGUGUUUGGCACCUCGAUGUCGGCUCAUCACAUCCUGGGGCUGAAGUAGGUCCCAAGGGUAUGGCUGUUCGCCAUUUAAAGUGGUACGCGAGCUGGGUUUAGAACGUCGUGAGACAGUUCGGUCCCUAUCUGCCGUGGGCGCUGGAAGAUUGAGGGGGGCUGCUCCUAGUACGAGAGGACCGGAGUGGACGCAUCACUGGUGUUCGGGUUGUCAUGCCAAUGGCACUGCCCGGUAGCUAAAUGCGGAAGAGAUAAGUGCUGAAAGCAUCUAAGCACGAAACUUGCCCCGAGAUGAGUCUUCCCUGAGACUUUGAGUCUCCUGAAGGAACGUUAAAGACGAUGACGUUGAUAGGCCGGGUGUGUAAGCGCAGCGAUGCGUUGAGCUAACCGGUACUAAUGAACCGUGAGGCUUAACCUUACAACGCCGAAG
rnacentral:rRNA from 1 species